GAUGCCUAACCUUAGGGUAAGUUGAAAUGUACCCUUUUUUUUCAUCAGAGGAAGAUUUUAUAAGUGUAUAAUCGGAAUAUAACAAAUAAAAGAAGGCAUAAAUUAAAUAUAUAGAAAAGAAAAGUAAAAAUGAAAUGGAUUAAGAAAGAAAGAUAUAGAGUGCAAUUUCCCAAAGCCCAUAUUACAGGCCCAACUCCAAGCCCAGCCGCUAAGCAAUCGCAAUAAAAACCUAGAAAACCUAGGUGAGUACACUACACAAUCUUAUAAAACCCUAGUUACACUCUCAUGCCACUCUGUACAAUUUAACAUGCUUCUACUUUUCUACCAUCGUCUUCUGCACUUGCCUCCUAAAGCUGUCUUCCAUUCGAAUUGUUGGGACAUGGUUGCUAUGAUGAGAUAAAGCACUGGAUGUGUUUAUGGGUAGUGGACGAGGCUUCUUAAUGUUGUCUCGCCGUGAGCCUAAUUAAAAAACGACUUCUCCUUCCACUGAGCUUUAUUUAGUCCCGUAUUUGUUUAUUUUUGUUUUCUAGUUUGAGUUCUUAGAGAGAUGCUGCGCCCUUUUACCAAUUCUGGGGAUAAUUUGUUCCUCUCAGGUAUAAUGGCUUGGGCGCUAUAACAAUUUGUGGCUAUCCUGAUCGAUGUUCUUUCAAUGCCAUUAGAUCCUGGAAACACCUCGUACAACCAUUGCAUCAUAUAAUUGUUUUUAUUGAAUUGCAUGUUGCACCCCGGGCUUACCUGAUUGCCCUUUUGACGGCCAAAGCCCCAAUGCACGUGCUAUAACGGCGCCGUUCAGUGUUGCAGUUUGGCUUCGAUAUAUUUUACCACGGCUUGGCUGUGUCAAAGAAACGGCUACAUUAUAUUUUUCUUUUCUAACUCUAUUUUGGGCCUCCCUACACCUUUAGCUUGUUUUUUAGUAUAAAUUACACGAUGAAAACAACGCUAGUCCUUGAGGCCAAUAUUUUAUGGCGGUGUUACACGUGGUGGUAAAUGUUUUUAAUGAUUUUGCCUCUAAAGACAUCCGCUACAUUUGUUUGUUUUUUUUUUUAUUUUGUUAAAUUUGUGAUUGUGUUGUUUUUGGCAAUGAUUAAUAUUUAUCCGCGCUUCUGAGUGCACUCAAUGAAGUACAAAAAUAAAUUAUGGUUGAAUUUCUUAAUAUGAGCCAAUUUACAAAUAGUUUUAUUUCAUUUAUUCAUUCACUUGUUACCUUUCCUUGAUUUCUAAUUGGCUGUGAUGAUGUAAACUUCAGCUUUAAUGCCAGUUCUGCUUCAGAAAAUUCUUGAUUGAUAGGGCUGUUUAUAUAACCUGAGCCAUUUUGUUUAUUGUCAUGGAUGCUGUUGUUGGUUGAUUUGUAUUCUAGUCAAUGUGUUUUCUAUUGAUGAGUCUAUCCAAUUUGUUGAGUUUUGUUGAAGCUGAAACCCUGUUUUCAGGGAGAACCCCUUGGUGAAUCUACAUUUCAUAUGACAUCAUUGGAUUUAAUUGAGGUUCCUUUUCUUACCAAUUGUUAUUAUAUUUGUUUUAUUAUUGUAUUGAUUGAGUAUUCACUAAGUCUGGGAAGAUUCAAUCCAAUUGUUUUAGGUGUUGUGGAGUCGAGACCCUGUUUACAGGGAGAACCCCUUGGCGAUACUUCAUUUCAUAUGAAUUUAAUGGAUUUAACUGAGGCUAAGCUAUAUCAUUAGUUAUAUUUCUUUUGUUUUCAAACAGAAUUCUAUAUGUUUGAGUUUAACUAUACUCUUAUCCUUAAUUAAGUGGUAGGUAUAAGAGUCUGAAAAAACUCAUAAAUUGUGUGUUGUCUAUCAGCUUCAUCUUUUGUAAUACUACGAGAAUGGAGUUAAAUAACAGCACUACAUGUGAAAACAAGUACAUGUUUAUUGCC